rnacentral:misc_RNA from 1 species
AUGGCAAUUUACAAGAGCUGCUCUACAAAUAUGCACUAUACUUCCUUAAUGAGAUAAAACCUGUAUCUGUCUCAAGUGUGGCAUUUCCAAAAGGACUGUCUAGAUAUAUUGAUCGUGGCUCACUGGAGACAUGUCUUCACCUAAUUGUUCUCUCUCUAUGUGUGGUCAUGGCAGGGUCUGGACACCUACAAACAUUCAAGUUGUUAAAAUAUUUGCGUGGUCGAAAUUCAGCAGAUGGGCACUUGAGCUUCGGUAAUCAGAUGGCUGUAAGCUUAGCCAUUGGCUUCUUGUUUAUUGGGGGUGGAAUGCAG